CAAGUCCUUUUGCUGUUUCACUGGCAAAGCAUCUGCAUUCCAUUGGAGCUAAAAUGUAUGGGGCUUUCUGGUGUUCACAUUGUUUAGAACAAAAACAGAUGUUUGGAAAGGAGGCAUUGGAAAUGUUGGACUAUGUGGAAUGCUUUCCUGACGGAUACAGGAAAGGAACUAAAAUAGCCAAGGCAUGUGCAGAUGCUAAAAUCGAGGGAUUUCCAACAUGGGUGAUCAAUGGUCAGGU
rnacentral:misc_RNA from 1 species